AUGCACCGGGUUCAGGGUGAUCAAGAAUGCUCUGACCCCGGGUGGAGGCUCACCAUUGCAUCUCGGUGGGUUGAAACUCGCGACGGACCCUAAUCGGGUGCGCUUGGGCGUGUAGUUUUUGUCAGNNNNNN
rnacentral:snRNA from 15 species